rnacentral:rRNA from 1 species
AUUGAACGCUGGCGGCAUGCCUAACACAUGCAAGUCGAACGGUAACAGGCCCUUCGGGCGCUGACGAGUGGCGGACGGGUGAGUAAUGCUUAGGAAUCUGCCUAGUAGUGGGGGAUAACCCGGGGAAACUCGGGCUAAUACCGCAUACGUCCUACGGGAGAAAGCGGGGGACCUUUGGGCCUCGCGCUAUUAGAUGAGCCUAAGUCCGAUUAGCUAGUUGGUAGGGUAACGGCCUACCAAGGCGACGAUCGGUAGCUGGUCUGAGAGGACGACCAGCCACACUGGGACUGAGACACGGCCCAGACUCCUACGGGAGGCAGCAGUCGAGAGGCUUCGGCAAUGGGGGAAACCCUGACCGAGCGACGCCGCGUGGAGGAUGAAGGCCUUUGGGUUGUAAACUCCUGUCAUGUGGGGAAGAAACGCCACCGUUCUAAUAGGACGGUGGUUUGACGGUACCACAAGAGGAAGCUCCGGCUAACUCCGUGCCAGCCGCCGCUGUAAU